rnacentral:rRNA from 1 species
UACAGAGGUGGCAAGCGUUGUUCGGAAUUAUUGGGCGUAAAGGGCGCGUAGGCGGCCUGGCAAGUGACGGGUGAAAGCCCUCGCUCACCGAGGAACUGCCUGUCAUACUGCCGGGCUUGAGUCCGGGAGAGGUGAGUGGAAUUCCCAGUGUAGCGGUGAAAUGCGUAGAUAUUGGGAGGAACACCAGUGGCGAAGGCGGCUCACUGGACCGGAACUGACGCCGAGGCGCGAAAGCGUGGGGGGAGCAAACAGG